rnacentral:rRNA from 1 species
GAAUAGAUACCCCGGUAGUCCACGCCGUAAACGUUGGGCGCUAGGUGUGGGGGUCCUUCCACGACCUCUGUGCCGCAGCUAACGCAUUAAGCGCCCCGCCUGGGGAGUACGGCCGCAAGGCUAAAACUCAAAGGAAUUGACGGGGGCCCGCAUAAGCGGCGGAGCAUGCGGAUUAAUUCGAUGCAACGCGAAGAACCUUACCAAGGCUUGACAUGUACAGGAAAGUUCCAGAGAUGGUUCCCCCGCAAGGUCUGUACACAGGUGGUGCAUGGUUGUCGUCAGCUCGUGUCGUGAGAUGUUGGGUUAAGUCCCGCAACGAGCGCAACCCUCGCCUUAUGUUGCCAGCACGUAAUGGUGGGAACUCAUAAGAGACUGCCGGGGUCAACUCGGAGGAAGGUGGGGAUGACGUCAAAUCAUCAUGCCCCUUAUGUCUUGGGCUUCACGCAUGCUACAAUGGCCGGUACAAUGGGCUGCAAUACCGCGAGGUGGAGCGAAUCCCGAAAAAGCCGGUCUCAGUUCGGAUUGGGGUUCUGCAACUCGACCCCG